AUUGAACGCUGGCGGCAGGCCUAACACAUGCAAGUCGAACGAGUGGCGGACGGGUUAGUAAUGUCUGGGAAACUGCCUGAUGGAGGGGGAUAACUACUGGAAACGGUAGCUAAUACCGCAUACCAUCAGAUGUGCCCAGAUGGGAUUAGCUUGUUGGUUGGGUAACGGCUGACCAAGUCGACGAUCCCUAGCUGGUCUGAGAGGAUGACCGGCGACACUGGAACGUAGAAACGGUCCAGACGCCUACGGGAGGCAGAAGUGUGGAAUAUUGCACAAUGGGCGCAAGACUGAUGCAGCCAUGCCGCGUGUAUGAAGAAGGCCUGCAGGUUGUAAAGUACUUUCAGCGGGGAGGCGUUACCCGCAGAAGAAGCACCGGCUAACUCCGUGCCAGCAGCCGAGGUAAGUC
rnacentral:rRNA from 1 species